rnacentral:misc_RNA from 1 species
UUGAAUUUAAUGUAGAGUUGGUUGUAGCUGGCCCAAUUUAAUAUUUGGGCAUGUGCACACCUUCUCUUUCAUCCACACACACCUGUGCACCUGUGAGACAGCGGUGGAACUUUUAAUUAAAUUUAAUUGGACCCUCUGUCUACUCAAUCCACACAAACUCAAUUUAUUUUAAAAUGAAUGUAACUGGAUGUAACACAUCUAAUAC